rnacentral:sRNA from 1 species
UUCGUCAUCGGCAGGAUCCGACGGUUGG